rnacentral:tRNA from 3 species
GCCGAAGUGGCGGAACUGGUAGACGCGCCAUCUUGAGGGGGUGGUGUCUUUAGACGUGCGGGUUCGAGUCCCGCCUUCGGCA